rnacentral:rRNA from 1 species
AGAGUUUGAUCAUGGCUCAGGACGAACGCUGGCGGCGUGCUUAACACAUGCAAGUCGAACGGUAAGGCCCUUCGGGGUACACGAGUGGCGAACGGGUGAGUAACACGUGGGUGAUCUGCCCUGCACUUUGGGAUAAGCCUGGGAAACUGGGUCUAAUACCGAAUAGGACCAUGGACUUCACGGUUUGUGGUGGAAAGCUUUUGCGGUGUGGGAUGGGCCCGCGGCCUAUCAGCUUGUUGGUGGGGUAAUGGCCUACCAAGGCGACGACGGGUAGCCGGCCUGAGAGGGUGACCGGCCACACUGGGACUGAGAUACGGCCCAGACUCCUACGGGAGGCAGCAGUGGGGAAUAUUGCACAAUGGGCGCAAGCCUGAUGCAGCGACGCCGCGUGAGGGAUGACGGCCUUCGGGUUGUAAACCUCUUUCAGCACAGACGAAGCGCAAGUGACGGUAUGUGCAGAAGAAGGACCGGCCAACUACGUG